UUUUUUUUUUUUUUUUUUUUUUUAAGUAUGGGAAUUUGAUAUGAAAUAUUGGAGGGAAAGUAAAAUAACAAAAGUUGACUUUCAAUUAUUUUGGCUUCCCUCUAAUAUUUUGGUGUAAAAUUCCCUAUGUCACCCAUUCCCCAUAUUCCCUCCCUGUAACCCACGACCAACCCCACUCAGAUAAACUUGAAAUAUCCAAUUCAAAUGCUACCACAUACACUCCAAAGAAAAAAGAAUUCCCUGCGUGUAUUUUUUUUUUUUUUUUUCUCUCAAUGUCUUGCUAUUUCCCCACCUGAUGGUCAUCCAACAAUCGCUUUAACACAAGGAACAGUUAUUCUAUGGAGUUUUCAACUCCAGCACAUAAUUUGUCUUAAUGGAGGAAUUCUUAACAUCCUUUUAAUAAGGAGGUACAUGAAGGUGCAAAAAGUGUCUCAAGAGUGAAGUUUUUAGUUUAAAGAUGUUGCAUUAGCACAUGAGGAAGCAACAUACUUUUUCUUUUUCAAUUUACCAUUAUUCAUGCAUUUCAAUUAGAUUUUUUAUGAUUAGUGAUUUCACUCUAUUUACUCAAUUUUGGACCCAUAUGUUAUCGCAUAAUUAUAGAUGUAAUUAGCAGUUGGUUUUGUAUGACUUUUGUGAUGUCUUUUAUUUAAAGAUUUAAAUACUCCCUAGUACGCUUUUGAUCACAAAGUAUCUAUUUACGGAAAGUAGAUUGUAUUGCACAUUUCAACCUGCAUCAAAUUUUAAAUUCAGUGAAAAAAGUAAUUUAUUCCAUAAUGGCCUUCAUAUUAAUAACAUAAUUAUAUUUUUAAUUACAAAUUAACUUUAUUUGAUGACAAUUGAAAUUUUCACAAAUUAACGUAACGUAUAGUGACGAAUUAGUCUUGACAAAAAAAAAAAAAAAAAAAAAAAAAAAAAGAUUCAAUGACGAAAUUGGUGCCUUUCCUAGAAAGACAAAUUUGUCACUAAUUUAAUUAUUUAGAGACGAAAAUUUCCUUUCGUACACAAAGCAUAUAGCGUUUAGUGACGUAAUCACAUUCUUUUAACUACAAAUUAUGCAUAGCUUUAAAGACAAUCUGUAUCGUCACUAAUUAAAAUUAUAGUUAGUGACAAAUUAGAUUUCUCGGUAAUACCCACAUUUUUAGUGACGUACAAUAUUUUUAGCUACAAAACUUUUACGCU